UUUAAUAAAGAGAAUAUGCUAAAUUUGAAUGACUUUUUAAUGAAUAAAGUAUUUGAAACAUUCUUCACAGUACAACAUAGCAAACAAAGACUUCACAACUUUCAUAAAUUUACUCCACAUAAUUCAUAAAUCCUUAGGCUAUCCAAAAACGGGUCAGUGGUUCAGUGAGUUUCGACAGAACGUGGUCCGACUACAAAACUGGGUUUGGUAACGCCAAUGACUCCUACUGGAUAGGAAAUGACGUAAUACAUCAACUUACCAAGGGAAGGAACUCCUCCCCCUACGUCUCCAUCACACUGACCAAAGGGACAAGGCUCUAUGAAUUAUACAACCAGUUCUCUGUUGCUGACGAAACCAACAAAUACUGACUUUCUCUUGGAGGACCAGCUACCGGGACACUUGGAGACAGCAUGAGAAG